rnacentral:lncRNA from 1 species
AUGCAGCCCCUUCCCCUUCUGACUAUCUUUUUGUUAACUUCCAGGGAAAAGAGAAGCCAGAUGAAGACAGGAUGGACCACUACCUCUGGUGAAGCAGAGAUGACAUCUUUGGUUGAUGAGCUCAAAGCAGAAAUGGCCCAGUCCCUUCAAGAGAUGGCACUGCCCACUUCACUCCACAUUAAGAGAAGUCUUGACACUAUCACUUGCACUCCCAUUAUUGCCACUAUCUCUACAAAAUCAAACAUUACAGACACACAUUCUUGUGGGAGGGCAGUAGGCAUGAGAAGGAAUUAUUUCCUCCAUCAGAAUCUUUCUUCAGAUGUUCUGGCUUGGGACUUGCUCUGGGGUGAAGGGGAUGGACUUGCUAUAUACCUGGGGGAUGAGCUUGGAGAGAAGAACUCUCUUUGGAGGCUUUCAGUAGAAGAAUGUACUCUGUCUUGGGAAUAUGUUCAGCAUAUUCAGAGCUAGGGAAUGCCUGGCACCUGAAAAUAAGUGAUCCCCAUUGAGAGUCACCAUGGCGAUUCAACAGCUAGAAGGGUCUGGAGGAGAUGCACAUGAGACCUGAGGUUGGUACUAACUAUGCGAAAAUAGGAAACUUUCUCAUCUUUCCCAGCAUCCUUUUCCUCCUGUGUAAAAUGGGAGCAAUUGCCUUUGUUUACAGGGCUGUUAGAAAGUUUAGAUGAGACAAUAGGCAUAAAAGUACUCAAUCAGAGGCUAACAUGAGUGCUAUAAAGACAAAAGAGUGCUGGUAAUUCUGAGCAGGCAGAGGUUAAUGUGAUGGAGUCAUCAGAGAGUCCGGUGGAGAAGAUGAGCUAGACACAUUGAAUUCCUUGAAUUGUUGAUGAUUUUUCAGCUUUUAUCUUAACGUUACAAUAAUAAUACGUGCUCAUUGUGAAAAAUUUUGGGUGGGGAACAUAAACAAGAAAAUUGAAGUCUUUUCUAGUCUUGUCACUCUAGUCAAGCACUCUUAUCAAUGUUUGUUAACAUUUCUGGGAAAUCUUUACCACAUGUAACUUGGGUGAAAGAGAAGAGAGAGAAAAUUCUGGUCAUUUACUACUGUUUGAACAUAGAGGCUUGGCUUAAGCAAGGAGAACAUUUGGGUCAGGGGUGAGAAACUGUAGCAGAAGAUAAAGUUGGAGACAGAUCAGACAGGUUCUGUAUGCAAAGGCAUCAAUAGUUUCCCUUCUGAUUUUUUUAAAAGGAAAGUCGUAAAACCUUAACUUUCUGUCUCUCUUCCUGCUCUUUCACCUUCUGAUCUUUAUCAAUGCUCUCAAACAAAUUGACACGAAUUGCCAUGGGAAAGGCUAUUACCUAGCCAAGAGAACAAUGGGAUUGAGGUGCCAGAGUCAGUUGUCCUCUCUUAUGAAAUAAAUUGUGGGUCUGUGCUGGAUUCUUGUAUGGG